AAAUCUUCAAAAUGGGCAUUUAAUGAAUACCUUGGUAAAAACUUUUAAGGACGCAGCGCAGCGAAAAUUGUAAGUAGGCUUUGGCUUGUUAUCUACAAAUUUCCUAUUGAGUAAACUUUUAUUUUAUUAAAAAAAUGUGAAUUGAAUCAUCUUAGUAACAUUGAAAAUAAAUCAAACGAGAAGUCGUUAGUAACGGUGAGUGAAAUCGACUAAAGCUGAAUAAUAUUAAAUUUGCGAAUUAUUUGCCUUAGAAGAUUAAAGCUCUGUAGCUUGAUUUAAUAAUUAUAUUUUUAAACUCUAAGUAAUACGAAAUUAAAUUUUGUAAGAAAAUAGGAGAUCCACCUUCUAAGCUUUAAAUAAGUUUUUAACCGAUAGUAUACGAGUAUCGUGAGAAAAAGGUGAAAAUUUCCGUUUUUAAGGAUAAUUUUGUAAUUGAAUGUUUAUAAGUUUUUCGGAGUUUUGUAAAAACAACGGAGUGCCUUUUGUAUAAUGAGUCAGUAAGUUAAUAUAUAUUGCGAGCUCAAAUACUAAUAUAAAGGCGAAUAAAUUAAGUGAUAUAUUUUAGACCUGAAACCGAGUGAUCUAGCUAUGAACAAGUUGAAAAUUCGUUAAAAUGUUUUUGAGGACUGAACUCACUUAUGUUGCAAUAUAGGGAGAUGAUUCAUAGUUUGGAGUGAAAGGCUAAUCAAACUCGGAUAUAGCCGGUUUUUCACGAAAUGUAUUUAAGUACUACGUUAAAUUAAGUUAACUUUAGGUAGAGUCACAAAAUAAAUAAGGGGGUUUAAUCACUUACUAAUUUUAUUUUAACUUCAAAUUAUAGUUAAAUAAUUAUUUAGCAGCCAGUCUAUAAGCGAUAAGGUUUAGAGACGAAAGGAAAACAAUCCAGAUCGAAUAUUAAGAUUUCAAAAUUAUAAUUUAGGGAAGAAGAUUUAAUAAAAAUCAAAUACAAAAAAUUGAUAGGCUUAGAAGCAGCCGUUCACUAGAGAUAGCGUUUUAGCUCAAUAUUUUGUUUUAUGUAAUCAAAAAUACAAAGAAACUUUAAAUUAUAUAUCGAGAUAACGAAUUUGUGUAAUGGUAGUGAAACGUUCUGUAAUAUUUAUAUAAUUGUAAAAUUAUAAAUUUUAUAUCAGAAAUGCUAAUGCUGACAUGAGUAGCGAAAAUUAUGUCUAAAAUCAUAAUCACUUUAUGUUUAAGGGUUUCAAUGUAAUUUUAAAUUCAUUGAGUUAGUCGGUCCUUAAGGGGUGAAUGAAAAUUGUACCCGAUAGGAAUUUAAAUUUUUUUUGAAACUGUCUAUAUGUAAUAAGAUUCUCUUACUAUGAAAGAAAAAUGAUUGGUAAUUUUAUUUUAUGAUUAGGUAUUAAAAUACUGUUGAUUUUUCCUGGAAAAUUAUAGACCUCAAAACCGUACUUAAACCGACACAGGUAAACUUGUUAAAGAAAUUAAAGUGUCUGAAAAAAUUAUAUUGAAGGAACUCGGCAAAUUAACUCUGUACGUUCGCAAUAAGGAGAGCCUUUAUAUCAAAAAGGUAUCAUAAAAGAAGAAGUAACGACUGGUUAACAAAACCACAGGACUCUGCAAAUUAUAAAAAAGUAUAGAGUCUGACGCCUGCCCAGUGCUUAAAAAUGAAAUAUUUAUGUUAAAGCUUAAAUUUUAAGUCUAAGUAAACGGCGGUUCUAACUAUAAGAAUCCUUAGGUAGCGAAAUUUCUUGGCGGGUAAAUUCCGUCCUGCAUGAAUGGUGUAACGAUUGCUUCACUGUCUCCAAUGUAAAUUCAGCGAAAUUACAUAACUCAUGAAAAUGUGAGUUACUUACAGUAAGACGGAAAGACCCUAGAUCCUUUACUUAAUCUUUAUAUUGAAGAAGUUAUUUUCUGUAAAAGAAUAUGUGGGAGUUUUUUAACAAAGUUUGAAAUACCACUCAGCGUUUUAAUAUUUUUCUCAACUUAUUUUUUUGAAUUUUUAAGGACCGUAUAAAGAAGAAAGUUUACUUGGGACGAGUGCCUCCUAAAAAGUAACGGAGGUGUACUAAGGCAAACAACACUUAUUUAACUAAAUUAAGGAAGCGUAUAAUAGCAUAAGUUUGCUUGACAAUUAGAUUUAUAAAUCAAGUUGAGAUGAAAGUCAGUUAUAGUGACCCAGUAUUUAAGUGUGGAAUUGAUACUGUUUAACAGUUAAAAGGAACUCUAGGGAUAACAGAUUCAUCGUGACUAAAAGUUCUUAUUGACGUCACGGUUUGAUACCUCGAUGUCGACUCAUCUUAUCCUGAAAUAGUAGUAAAUUUCAAGGGUCUAGUUGUUCGCUAGUUAAAAAGGUACGUGAGUUGGGUUCAGAACGUCGUGAGACAGUUCGGUCCCUAUCUACUGUAAGAAAAGAAAAAUAUAAGGAUCUAUUUUUAGUACGAGAGGAUCGAAAUAGAUUAACCUCUGGUGUAUUGAUUACUAAACCUUGUAGUAUUGUCAAGUAGCUAAGUUACUGAUAUAUAAGUAUUGAAUGAAUCAAAAAUACUAAAAACGCCUUUUUAUUUUUCAAGAAUAAUCUGAAAGACCAUCAGAUAAAUUGGCUUACAAAAAAUUUUAGCGAUAAACUUUUUACAAGUACAAAACAAUGUCAUUAAGAUU
rnacentral:rRNA from 1 species